GGCGACUGGGAAAGGAAACAGACAGAAGAUCCCAAUACCGCAGAGCAAAGAGGCACAGGAAACAGCUUUUAUUUGUUACAUGACUCAGAACUCCAAGAAACUGAGGUUCCCAUAGGACAUUGUUUUCCAUGUGAUAUAGAAAUUAAUUUAUUUUCUAAGAAAAUAAGUACUGGUAAACACUGGUGAAGAUGUAGCUCAGGGCUGGAGCUACAAACCUAACAUUCUGGAUUUAGUCUUCAACACUGGGGGUGGGGGAGGUAUGGGGUGUCUUAGGGUUGCCGUUGCUUGGAUAGACCAACAGCUCGGGGAGGAAAGGGCUUAACUGGUUUAAUCAGCUCAGGCUUCCACAUCACAGUUCAUCACUGAAGGCUACUGACCAGCCCUCAAAGAGGACAGGAGCUGAUGUGGAGGUCAUGGAGGAAUGCUGCUCACUGGCUCAUUCCUCAGGCUUGCUCAGUCUGGCCUCUUACAGAACCCAGGACCCCAGCCCAGGGAUGGCACCACCCACACUGGACUGAGCCCUCCUCCAUCAAUCACUAAUCAAGAAAAUGCCCUACAGGCUUGUGUCAUGUUGCCUGAAAACUAGCCAGCGCAGGAGGGGAGGGCGUAGUUAUGCAGAAACAUAAGAAAGAAAGAAAUGACUUAGGCGGUUCUAAAACCCAGAAUGUGAAAAGGUGGUUUUCAGUAUUGUGGAAAGGCCAAGACCCCAACUCUGCUGUGUUCCUUGGAGAGAAGGGAAAUGGAAUGAAGGAGAGACUAUCAGGUCAGGUUGGGAGGGGAAUGGGUUCAGCUCCUUUAUAGGAAGUAACAUCUGUGGCUUUGACAGUUGUGGCUAAGAGAGGAGAAAAGAAAAGAAAACUCGAGGUUUUUAGCUUGAGGCAAAGGUAAUGACAAAGGUAAAGAAAAUAGAAAAUCUAGGCAGCCAAGCAGAUUUGCAGGGAAAAAAAAAUAAAGAAAUGAAAUUAUAUAAAGAUGAAGAGCCCUGUAGGUUUUUCAUCUGAGCUCUACCCACCUUUGGCGUCCUCCUCCAAAUAGUUCAGACUGCUCCCUAGACGUGUCCUGUCUGGGAAGAAGACUCGGAGAAACUGAAAUCGAGACCAUGUUGAGCUGUGGCACUGACAGUCAGCACAAUGGCCCCUGCGGUUCUAAGCCACAGUUCUACUUAAAAGAGAAACCCUAAAUUUGCAUCUGGACUUCUGCUGCGACCCUGUACCUAAGAACACUGAUACCCAAGAUGAUGCAGACUAUUGCCGUGGCCGUUGCUUGCACGCUGGAACUGAAUGGUAAGAACCUAUUGGUGAAGAUGUCACCUGCUUCGGUGACAGGAUAUGGAGAAAUGAGACUGGAACUGGGCUAAAAGUUUCCUCCCUGCUGGCUGAUCUACCUGUUGCUGGAAGACAUCUCGCAGUUAGCCAGAGUGAAGGGCAGUUACUGCUAACAGUCCUACUCAGCUAUGAACGUUGUGUGCUAUAUCAACGAUACAGGGACCCAUGGGUAAUCGUGAUGUGACUAUUACAGGUGCAACUAAUAAUUUUCCAUUUGUAUUUAAAGUCCACUCCAUAGAAGAAAACACUCAUCUAGUGCUGCAAGCCAGGGUGGGUCGUAGGCUAUUGCUUUGUUAAACUGAUGCUUUAAUCCUGUUAGUUUAAAAAAUACGUUGGAAUAUAUAUAUUGAGUUCAUAUGUUCACAUGUGUGUGGAGGCCAGAAAUUGAGAUCAGCCAUCUCUAUUGCUCACCACCUUAUUUUUGAAACAGGUCUGUCAGUGAAUGCGUUGCUCACUAAGUCUUCUAGAACGGCUGGCCAGGGAGCUCCAGACACCACCCAAGUCUGUCCCUUGGUGCUGGGGUUACAGGUGUGUGCUGCUGCUACAGAUUGGUCAGGAGGGGGGGAGGUAGGGGGAUCUUUACGAAGGUCCUCUGGAUUGCAUGGCAAACAUUGUUCUGAGUCAUCUGCCCAGGUGACCCCAGGUCACAGUUUCUUAAACCCAUAAGGGAUCACUGUAACUUAAUGUCAGGGUUGUGAAAAAUUUGGCAGUAGUGGGUUUCUGAGUAUGCAAUGAUCACAGCCCAAUUCAAAAAUCAAAUGUAAUGAAUGGUGUUUCUGGCAAGGCUCACCCUGCAGUACCACAUAACUUCAUAAGCGCCUCGGUUCUGUACAUGAAACAUGAAAAUGCUGUACCGUCCAUGGCAGCAGGCCAUGUGACACCAACAACUGGGCUCAGAUGCAAGAUUACUGUAUAUAAUGAAGUGCAGCAUGUUUAGUACAAAGCUCUGCUCCAUAGAAAUUACAGAAACAUUGUAAUUUCAUUUUGGACAGCAAGGAGUUAGUAUUUUAUCAUUGUUACAUCAA